GUCAUUAAUACCAGCUGACUUGCUCCUUUCCUGGGCUGUAAUACUACCAGCCUUAGAGAAAUGAAGGCUACAAUAUAAGGAUUGAAUCCUAAUGAACUUCAUCAAGAGAAGACAGAAUAUGCUACCUUUUCUGCAGUGAUAGGCACAGUUUAUGACAUAUCCAGAGUUUGGACAGAGCACUGUCUGGAAAUCACAGCCGUCAUGAACAUCAGUUGAAAAGUUGUAGCAACUUCUUGGUAGCAGCAGAGGAUGAGCAAAUACAUUGUCUGCAAAGGCUGAGUCAAUUAGCAGUGGCUGUCAUGUGUAUUGAACUGCAGUUGUUUAAAGUGAGAAUAUUCUAAAUGCAGAGAGCUAUUACAGUUGGGAAGAAUUUCUGAGCAGUGUUUCAGCUUUUUCUAGUUCUGACUUCAAGCAUGGACCUUGACAAAGCAGCAGAAUGACAACUUGGUAGGAAUUCUGUGCCUUAUUUCUUAAUCCUGAUGAGCCAAACCUACGGUGAACUCCCAUUCCUCAGAGAGAGCCAGAGCCACGGGGUCACAUCAAGCCACUCUGUACAGAUCAGUUCUACAGAGUUUUCUGAAAGCAUAACCUUAAAUCCUACGAAAACCAGUUGUCCAUGCUUCAGUCUCCUGAGAAGGCAGCUCCUGCUGCCUCCUGCAGCCCCACUCGUGCUGAAGCAAGGCCAUUUACACCGUGCUUCAGAACCAGGUGUGCUAUGGGCAGAGUGGCAGCAAUUGCCAGCGGUGACUAAGUGAGAAGUGACACUCUCUGUCUCUCUGAGGGUUUCUUCAAGUCCAGUUUGGAGCCUUUCAUUACAUUGCAAGAAUCCAUUAAGACAGAAACAAGGUUAUUCCAUGAAAUGUUUUUGUGACUAAAGAGGACAUCCAGCUCUUUAAUCAGUGACAGAACAUCUACUCUGACAAGACUGAGUGAUACAAUGCGCUUGGCUAGCACCUUUGCAACUGAAGGGGAAUAUAACUUACAAGGACAGACAGUAUUCUCAUUAAAUUGCCAUUGGUUGAUUCAUCAAUGCUCCAGUGGAAAUAAUUAUUCUGUAUAUGUUUGAUGUAAAUGUCUAUGUCAAAUGAAACCUCAUUUUGUAUUUUGCGGAUGUCUGAUCCAUGAUAAUUUGGCUAAUGCCUUCAGGUCAUGAGAUAACUGUCUUCUCCCUUCAAUUAUGACAGGGGCUGCAGUGAGAGUCUAAGAGUGUUUUGGAGGAGAUAAAUACACACACAUACACACACAUAUUUAUAUAUAAACAAACAAACAAAUAAAUAAACAAACAAAAUCACCACUGUAAUGCCAGUGUAACCCAUGUGGAUUUUAUUCGCCCCCAUGUGGGUGUGUCAGUUUUUGACUAAACAAACUGAGAGUAAUUUCUUUGACCUUUACAAAGUCACCCUAGAAUUACUGGCAGGCAAAAUCUCAUCCCAAAAAUAUCUUUUGCAGCAAGAUGCUGGAAGUCACUAUGGGGAGAAAGAGCUGCUGUUGUAUACUUAGAUGUGCCAAUACAAUGCUAUAUAAACACAUAAAAGGCUACUGAUUGAUUUUGGAAUGAGCCCUAAGCAAAGUGAAAGUCAGAAGCACAGUGAAGUACUGCAGAAUUAUCCCAGAAAUGUUGAAGCCUCUCUGAAUAGGUGUGAUUUAAUUUCUUUCUGCCUGUUCCAGGGAGAAAGAAGUUAUGCUUCAUAUAUAUAGCGAAAUUACUACCCAUAUAAUAUUGUCUAAUGAAAAAUGGGGGAAUAGCCAAAUAAUGUUCACUUAUUCUCACUAAGAAGGUAAAAAGACUCUGAUUAGUCCCCUUCAGUACUAAGGGAAAGAUUUAAAUAGAUUAGAUUUGGGAGUUCUUACAAUGUUGUUGGCUUCUUCAUAAGCACAUAAUCUUAAAACAAUCUAAUCUUUUUUAUGUAAAAUCAAGAUCCUUAGUCAUUUAGAUAAUUGUUAGUGAUUAAUAUAUCCUUGAUAAUACCUAGUUGUAUCUUAUUUUAUGAGCAAGGCCACUGAAAUCAAAAGGACCAAUUACUAGAUAAGGAAAAACCAACUGUUCAUUAAAAUCUUAGGAAUUUAGCCUCUUUUUGUGUGUGUCAGAAAGUCAUUAGGAGGAGACAGUGAAAAGAGAAGGAUAAAGACAAUGCAGAGUAUAAACUGAUAUGA